rnacentral:rRNA from 1 species
AGAGUUUGAUCCUGGCUCARGACGAACGCUGGCGGCGUGCUUAACACAUGCAAGUCGAACGCUCCUGGAGGUUAGAAGUUAGAGGCUAGAAAUCGGAAGUUAGAAAUUAGAAGUUGGAAAUUAGAUUAAGAAGGAAUUCGUCAAAGACGAAUUCCCACUAAUUAAAAUCCAACCUCCAAAAUCCAAUUUCGAACAUCUAGUCUGCAACUUCUAACCUCUAAGGGGAGUGGCGGACGGGUGAGUAACGCGUAGGCAAUCUGCCCGUAAGAGGGGGAUAACACCGGGAAACCGGUGCUAAUACCGCAUAACAUCACUGGGUUGCAUGACCCGGUGAUAAAAGGAGAAAUCCGCUUACGGAUGAGCCUGCGUCUGAUUAGCUGGUUGGCAGGGUAACGGCCUACCAAGGCGACGAUCAGUAGCCGGCCUGAGAGGGUGACCGGCCACACUGGAACUGAGACACGGUCCAGACUCCUACGGGAGGCAGCAGUGGGGAAUCUUCCGCAAUGGGCGAAAGCCUGACGGAGCAACGCCGCGUGAGUGAUGAAGGCUCGGUAUACUGGGCGUAAGAGCGCGUAGGCGGGAAUUUAAGUCAGGAGUGUAAACUGCCGGCUCAACCGGGAGCUUGCUUCUGAAACUGGAUUUCUUGAGGGUAUGAGAGGGAAGCGGAAUUCCUAGUGUAGCGGUGAAAUGCGUAGAUAUUAGGAGGAACACCAGUGGCGAAGGCGGCUUCCUGGCAUACAACUGACGCUGAGGCGCGAAAGCGUGGGGAGCAAACGGGAUUAGAUACCCCGGUAGUCCACGCCGUAAACGAUGGGCACUAGGUGUAGGAGGUAUCGACCCCUUCUGUGCCGUAGUUAACACAAUAAGUGCCCCGCCUGGGGAGUACGGCCGCAAGGUUGAAACUCAAAGGAAUUGACGGGGGCCCGCACAAGCGGUGGAGUAUGUGGUUUAAUUCGACGCAACGCGAAGAACCUUACCAGGGCUUGACAUCCUCUGACAGCGUAUGAAAGUACGUCUUCGGGCUUCGGUUCGACAGAGAGACAGGUGGUGCAUGGUUGUCGUCAGCUCGUGUCGUGAGAUGUUGGGUUAAGUCCCGCAACGAGCGCAACCCCUAUCUUUAGUUGCCAUCAGGUGAAGCUGGGCACUCUGGAGAGACUGCCGGUGACAAACCGGAGGAAGGUGGGGAUGACGUCAAAUCAUCAUGCCCCUUAUGUUCUGGGCUACACACGUACUACAAUGGCCGGUACAAUGGGCGGCGAAGGAGCGAUCCGGAGCAAAUCCCAUCAAAGCCGGUCCCAGUUCGGAUUGCAGUCUGCAACUCGACUGCAUGAAGGCGGAAUCGCUAGUAAUCGCAGGUCAGCAUACUGCGGUGAAUACGUUCCCGGGCCUUGUACACACCGCCCGUCACACCACGAAAGUCGGCAACACCCGAAGCCGGUGAGCUAACCGUAAGGAGGCAGCCGUCGAAGGUGGGGUCAAUGAUUGGGGUGAAGUCGUAACAAGGUAACCG